rnacentral:rRNA from 1 species
GAGUUGUAAUCUAUAGAGGCGUUUUCCGUGCCGGACCGUGUCCAAGUUCCUUGGAACAGGAUAUCAAAGAGGGUGACAAUCCCGUACUUGACACGACGACCGGUGCUCUGUGAUACGUCUUCUACGAGUCGAGUUGUUUGGGAAUGCAGCUCAAAAUGGGUGGUGAGUUCCAUCUAAAGCUAAAUAUUGGCGAGAGACCGAUAGCGAACAAGUACCGUGAGGGAAAGAUGAAAAGCACUUUGGAAAGAGAGUUAAACAGUACGUGAAAUUGUUGAAAGGGAAACGAUUGAAGUCAGUCGUGACCGAGAGGCUCAGCCGGUUCUGCCGGUGUAUUCCCCUCGGUCGGGUCAACAUCAGUUUUGUCCGGUGGAUAAGGACGGUAGGAAGGUGGCACCCUCGGGUGUGUUAUAGCCUGCCGUCGCAUACAUCGGGUGAGACUGAGGAACGCAGCUCGCCUUUAUGGCCGGGGUUCGCCCACGUCCGAGCUUAG